CUACAAUCAGAUAAGCCUGGCUUAUCCUACUGUCAGGAUGUAAGGGUAAAUAUUCAGGAAUUAGAACUAAGUGGAAAGAAGCCCCUUGAUAACCCUUCUCAUGAGAGUUCCAUGUCCACCGCAUUCCAGAAUGUGCCCACUAAGAAAGCCUGCCACAAAUGCAGCACUUGUGGGAAAACAUUCAGGAAGCAUUCACAUCUCAUUAGCCACAAGAGAUGUCACACAAAAGAAAGGCCCUUCAAGUGCAUCGUGUGUGGGAAGACCUUCGGGUGGUCUUCCAAUUUGACCAGGCAUGUGAAAAGCCAUUUUAGAGAUUAGCCUGGGGUCUUUGAUGACAGUGGGGUGGGGAGUAGUUCCUGAUUACAUCUCUAGAGAACUUAAGUGGUAGGCACUGGGGAAACCUUUGUAAAGGCCCAGGCCUUUCUGGCUGGGAUGUUCUUGGUGUGGAAGCUUGAUGGUUUCAAAAUUCAGAGACUCCUCAGUCUUAUUGCUGAAAAGUGAUGUUGGUAAAGAACAGAACGUUCUCUGGGGUCUGAUAGAGGCCCUGGCCCCUAGGUUAUCCCAGGACUCUGUCAGCCAGGACUCCUUAGAUAAUUCUUGCUGUUUGUGAUUGGGAAGCAUGUCUGUAACCUAGUAAGCUGUGUCUGUUGGGAAGGGGCCAUUUCGUUCCCCAGUUCUUUAGUGUUGGCUUGUGUUGGUGCCUGUUCUGUUGACUUUAAGGCCAAGAACUUACAUUCUCAGCUGUCUCCUAAAGAGCUUUGGCCUCAGUGUAUAAUAGAUUUUUGGUUAUUAGCUAUGGUCCUAAAGUAAUCUCAGAGGUGAGUGAAAUGGACAGGGUGCUGGGUUCCAUUGCAUGAUCUAGACAAGCAACAUUAAUCCAUCAUUUCAGCUGAGAUAUAAGAGGAUUACCAUAUGCCAGUGACCAGAACCGAGUAAAGCCCUGCUGUUUUUGGAUCUAUAAGUCAAUAAAUGAGUUAGAUUGUAUUCUGGAUGAUAAUAUGUGUUGAGGACAAAGCAAUCCAGAGAAGAAUGGCAAGGAAUCUGGUUAGGCUGUGGAUUGUUAAACAAGUCCUGGAAGUCAUGUUGCUAACAGUAAACUAACUGGGACCAGGUUUUGGGAGGCAGUGGCAUCCCUAGGAAUUCCAAGACAGUUAGACAGGGCUACAUAGAGAAACCUUAUCUCAAAAAACAAAAAACAAAAAACAAAAACCCACCCCACCCCCAACCUAACAAACAAAAUCCCUAAUUGACUAAAAAGCUAUGUUGGAUUGGGAGGUGAGCCAUGUCGCUCUAUUGGGAAAGAAUACAAGACGGAUCUUGUCUGUAGGAUCUUGUCUGGACUUUAGUAGUCUUUGGGUGGAGUAACUUAGCUGUCUGAAGAAUGAACUAGAAGUCAGUCCUGGGACCACGCUUUACAGAGGUCUUGUUCACACGUUAGUUAUAAGGAUGAUUCUGGUAUACCUCUUUGUUCAUAGUCAUGACUAUCCUGAACCUUUGUCCUUUAAUCUCUCCUGCUCCCUUCUCUUUUGAGGACUGUGCUUAAUUGCUAGUGUAAUCUGGGUUUCCAGUUAAUGCUUGCCACUGCAGCCUGACCAAGCACUUGGAAAAUCUAUGCUAGUGUGUUUAUGUUGACAGAUUUUGCAAAACAAUCAAACAAAAAAUGCUGCUUCUCCAAUCUGGGAAAAUGAGUCUUCCUAGUACUUGUGUUGCUCUUGCCUGGGUUCAGUUCCUAGCAUCCACGUGCUGUUCACAAACAUCUACAUUCCCAGAGAAUCCCAUGCCCUGUUCUGAAUUGUGUGUGCACCGGAUGUGCAUGGCUCACAGACAUACAUACAAAGCACUCAUAUGAAAUACAUUUUCAAAAUAGCAUGAUUGUGUGUUUAUAUAUACAUAUAUUUCUAUAUCUGUAUUUAAAGUUGCCUCUCUGAAAGAAUCUAGUUCUGCCAAGUCAGGAGUAGAACUUUAAGUGGGUCUUGAUCAGACAGAUUGGGGAUACUUUAUAAAACAGGCCUUGAGUCAAGUAUUGAAAGUUGUACUUAAAAGUACACAGCUGCUAGGUAUGAGCCAAGUAAUUGAUGGUUUUGAGUAGUAGUAGAGUGUUGGUUGACCGCUUCUCAUUGUCGUGGCAACCAUGUCUAAUCUUAUACUUGAACUUGGCCUGGAAAAUACUUCUUUGAACAUGGCCUUUCUCCACUGCCUGAGGAACUGAUUAGGGAUGGGCUGAGACCAUUAUGGAGUAAUGGAUAUCAGAUGGGCUCUUAAACCUGCUUAGUGUGAUCAGUUACAUCCCUACUGAAGGAUGUCAAACCACAGAGAAGAAACCAUGUGGACUUUCUUAGUAAUCCUUAGAGAAGUUAUCUUUUGAAAGCUUAAGUAUGAAGUGGGUGGAACAACUGGGGUUCAGACCCCCUUUUACAAAAGAUGGAUUGCCAGGCAACUUGGAAAGACUUAUAAAAUUGUGUGUUCUAUUCAGUGGGUCCCGUUCUAGACCAAUGUGAAGAAUGACAAAUGUGAGUCAACUCACGACAACAGUGUUUAGCUAGUGGGCCAGCAGAAUCCUGUUUGCCAUUAGCAGAACAGACCGUGCAGAGGUGUUUGGUAGUUCAGAAAGAGCGUAAAGCUCAGUGUGGUGGUUCACACUGUAGUCCUAAUGUGGGGUGCAAGAGGCCACAAAGCCACUUGGGGAUAAAGGAUAAAAAGAUACUAUUCAAGCACCUACCACACACAAAACGAGAAUUAUAGCAAAUGUGGAAGACUUAUGUCCUCCAACUCAGAAAAUUACGCUGAGCUGCAGAAGCUGUACAUAAUACUCCAUUUAUAUGAAUUUUAAGCACGUUUAAAGUGCUCAUAUCACUUACACUGGUUUGGGUUUCAUUAUUCUGUAUGUGGGAUAGAGUUCUAACCUCAUAGGGCGGUGGUGGGGACAGUGAUGAAAUGCAUGUGUGACGUUGGAAUAGUGUCUGUCAUGUAACCAUUCCUAAUGUACAAGUUAAUAUUUUGCACAAUUUUCUGUGGAUUCAAAGACAUGACAUAAGCGUGUACACUCAUGAAAUGGGAUGGUAUAGGUAUACUGCUCCAUGUUCUGUGGGUUUGAGAUGCUUGUGAUACCAGAAGGGAAAUGUUCUUCACUUGUUUUUCUAAUCAUUGAUGCACAUACAACAUAAAGUUACGAUUUAACAGAAUAAUAUGGUGACUUCUUUCAACUGUUAAAAGUCAAAAUAAACAAAAAUUAAUGAUGGCCUCUG
rnacentral:lncRNA from 1 species